AACGAACGCUGGCGGCAUGCCUAACACAUGCAAGUCGAACGAGACCUUCGGGUCUAGUGGCGCACGGGUGCGUAACGCGUGGGAACCUGCCCUUAGGUUCGGAAUAACUCCCCGAAAGGGGUGCUAAUACCGGAUAAUGUCUUCGGACCAAAGAUUUAUCGCCUUUGGAUGGGCCCGCGUUGGAUUAGCUAGUUGGUAGGGUAAAAGCCUACCAAGGGGACGAUCCAUAGCUGGUCUGAGAGGAUGAUCAGCCACACUGGGACUGAGACACGGCCCAGACUCCUACGGGAGGAAGCAGUGGGGAAUAUUGGACAAUGGGCGAAAGCCUGAUCCAGCAAUGCCGCGUGAGUGAUGAAGGCCUUAGGGUUGUAAAGCUCUUUUACCCGGGAUGAUAAUGACAGUACCGGGAGAAUAAGCUCCGGCUAACUCCGUG
rnacentral:rRNA from 1 species